rnacentral:rRNA from 1 species
CACGUAGGGGGCAAGCGGUGUCCGGAUUUAUUGGGCGUAGAGAGCUCGUAGGUGGUUCGGUAAGUCGGGUGUGAAACCUCCAGGCUCAACCUGGAGACGCCACCUGAUAUUGCUGUGACUGGAGUCCGGUAGGGGAGCGUGGAAUUCCUGGUGUAGCGGUGAAAUGCGCAGAUAUCAGGAGGAACACCAGCGGCGAAGGCGGCGCUCUGGGCCGGUACUGACACUGAGGAGCGAAAGCGUGGGUAGCAAACAGG